rnacentral:rRNA from 1 species
AACGAACGCUGGCGGCAGGCUUAACACAUGCAAGUCGAACGCCUGGAGCAAUCCAGGAGUGGCAGACGGGUGAGUAACACGUGGGAACAUACCCUUUGGUACGGAACAACUCGGGGAAACUCGAGCUAAUACCGUAUACGGCCGAGAGGCGAAAGAUUGAUCGCCGAAGGAUUGGCCCGCGUCCGAUUAGCUAGUUGGUGAGGUAAUGGCUCACCAAGGCGACGAUCGGUAGCUGGCUGAGAGGAUGGCCAGCCACAUUGGGACUGAGACACGGCCCAAACUCCUACGGGAGGCAGCAGUGGGGAAUAUUGGACAAUGGGCGCAAGCCUGAUCCAGCCAUGCCGCGUGAGUGAUGAAGGCCUUAGGGUUGUAAAGCUCUUUCGUCAGGGACGAUAAUGACGGUACCUGAAGAAGAAGCCCCGGCUAACUUCGUGCCAGCAGCCGCGGUAAU